ACUUGAAUAGCUUAUGUUUAGAGCGUGACGCUGAAGAUGUCAAUGAGGCAGUUUGCCUUUAAGUA
rnacentral:tRNA from 1 species